rnacentral:lncRNA from 1 species
CUUCAGAAUUCUGUGGUUGCUAAUAAUCUCAGGAGACCCUGGAAUCCUAGGACAUACAGAAUCAGCAGUGAGAAAAGAAAAGAUCAAGCUCCAAUCUUUGCCGCUUCCUUCACACGGUGCUAAUAUGUGAGGACAAGACCAAAGAGACCCAUUAGCUAAGUUGUAUCCUAAAAAGAAGAUAGUUAAAACUAGUGAAUGGUGCUCGUAGAACUGUAUUUUGGUCAUAAUAACAGUGCCUUCUCUCAGCAUUCUCAAUUAUAUUGAUAAAAUUAAUAUCUAAUAGAGGAUAUCUGUGCAUGUCACCUUAAAAGAUAAAAUGUCUUCUAGGCUAUAAUGGAUAAAGAAAGGCUUGAUGGUAUUAACAUACUUUAAAAAAAAAGAAUGUAUCAAAAGAAUGGAGAGAGUCAGCAUGGAAUAUGGUAAACAUGGAGUGAAAGAGGAAGAUUUUGGGGGCAUUUAUCCAUGUUGUCUAGAAAAUGGAAAGAGACUGAAUCUGAGGGAGAAACACUGAAUCUGGAGAAACACCAAAGUGGUCAUUACUUAUAUCUCUGUUGUGGGGUAGAGAUUUUUUUAUUGGGUUUUAUAAUAACUUGAAUGAAAUCUCUCCCUGGUUUAUACACUUUCUGUGCUUGCCAAGUAAUUUUUAAUUUCUAAAUUUGCUUCUUGAUUAACCAGCUGCCAAGAAGCAGAUGCAAGCAUACUGUUCACAGUGGUGGUAUACCUUCCAUUGUAAAUUAAUAUAUUUUCAUGAGAUUGGAAGAUCCGAUCAGUGCUCCCGGCCAUGGUUUUUACUUUAAAUCAGUAAAUCUGACCUUCUGGCUAUGUAUCAUUUAUUGAGAAUUUGAGGUCCAUGAGCUCAGACUCAUGAAUAAAACCAACCCAGGAAAAGAGACCACAACCUGGACAAUGAUGCUACAUCUCAUGAGAUUGCCCAAGUAACUAGCUCUAACCCCAGUUGAGAAGCAGGAUGAAGAGUCCAGUACAGAGUGGGUUGCAUGGAUCAUGAAGCUUAGGGGUGUUCUUUUUAUUGAGUGCUUGGCAUACGACGUGAGGAAGGGUAAAGGCAGAAAAUACAUCCCAUCAAUAAGAAGCCUCAGGUGUCUCACGAUAUCAAGACGGGAGAAAAAUGAUAAUAACCCCCUGGUUACACAUUCAGAAGAAAACCAGAUAGUUCAGUAAAAAAAUGCAUUUCCUGGAACUAGAA